CAGUCGAACGGGGGUAGUAAUACUCCAGUGGCGAACGGUCGCGUAACACGUAAGCAACCUGCCCUAAAGUGGGGGAUAACGUUCCGAAAGGGACGCUAAUACCGCAUAUGGUUCACAGAAGGCAUCUUUUGUGAUCUAAAGAUUUAUUGCUUUAGGAUGGGCUUGCGGCCUAUCAGGUAGUUGGUGGGGUAAUGGCCUACCAAGCCGACGACGGGUAGCUGGUCUGAGAGGACGAUCAGCCGGAUUGGGACUGAGAUACGGCCCAGACUCCUACGGGGGGCAGCAAUUAGGAAUCUUGCGCAAUGGGGGCAACCCUGACGCAGCGACGCCGCGUGAAGGAUGACGGAUUUCGGUCUGUAAACUUCUUUUGUCAAGGAAGAAGAAUGUGACGGUACUUGGCGAAUAAGCCCAGGCUAACUACGUGCCGGCAGCCGCGGUAAUACGUAGGGGGCGAGCGUUGUCCGAAGUUACUGGGCGUAAAGCGCGCGUAGGCGGUCAUUUAAGUCUGGGGUGAAAGGUUCAACGCUUAACGUGAACAGUGCCUUGGAUACUGGGUGACUUGAGUCUGGGAGAGGACAGUGGAAUUCCUGGUGUAGCGGUGAAAUGCGUAGAUAUCAGGAGGAACACCGAUGGCGAAGGCAGCUGUCUGGCCUAAGACUGACGCUGA
rnacentral:rRNA from 1 species